rnacentral:misc_RNA from 1 species
GAUGAAGAACGUAGCGAAAUGCGAUAAGUAAUGCGAAUUGCAGAAUUUCCGUGAGUCAUCGAAUCUUUGAACGCACAUUGCGCCCACUGGUAUUCCGGUGGGCAUGCCUGUUCGAGCGUCAUUUGUACCCUCAAGCUUUGCUUGGUGUUGGGCGUCUUGUCGUAUUACGACUCGCCUUAAAUACAUUGGCAGCCGGCACUUUGGCCUAGGAGCGCAGCACAUUUUGCGAUCGUAGCCCGUUGUACUGGCGUCCAUCAAGAACAUUUACCACGUUUGACCUCGGAUCAGGUAGGGAUACCCGCUGAACUUAAGCAUAUCAAUAAGCGGAGGA